GACAGCAGCCGCCGCGGGAAAACGAAGGGGGCUAGCGUUGUUCGGAAUUACUGGGCGUAAAGCGCACGUAGGCGGACAUUUAAGUCAGGGGUGAAAUCCCGGGGCUCAACCCCGGAACUGCCUUUGAUACUGGGUGUCUAGAGUAUGGAAGAGGUGAGUGGAAUUCCGAGUGUAGAGGUGAAAUUCGUAGAUAUUCGGAGGAACACCAGUGGCGAAGGCGGCUCACUGGUCCAUUACUGACGCUGAGGUGCGAAAGCGUGGGGAGCAAACAGGAUUAGAUACCCCAGUAGUCCCUGUCUCUUAUAC
rnacentral:rRNA from 1 species